GCCGAAGUGGUGGAAUUGGUAGACACGUCGGUCUCAAAAACCGAUGCCCUCGGGCGUGCCGGUUCGAUUCCGGCCUUCGGUACCA
rnacentral:tRNA from 2 species